AUUGAACGCUGGCGGCAUGCCUUACACAUGCAAGUCGAACGGCAGCAUGGAGAGCUUGCUCUCUGAUGGCGAGUGGCGAACGGGUGAGUAAUGCAUCGGAACGUACCGUGUAAUGGGGGAUAACGUAGCGAAAGUUACGCUAAUACCGCAUACGACCUGAGGGUGAAAGCAGGGGAUCGCAAGACCUUACGUUAUACGAGCGGCCGAUGUCAGAUUAGCUAGUUGGUGAGGUAAAGGCUCACCAAGGCGACGAUCUGUAGCGGGUCUGAGAGGAUGAUCCGCCACACUGGGACUGGGACACGGCCCAGACUCCUACGGGAGGCAGCAGUGGGGAAUUUUGGACAAUGGGGGCAACCCUGAUCCAGCCAUGCCGCGUGAGUGAAGAAGGCCUUCGGGUUGUAAAGCUCUUUCGGCCGGGAAGAAAUCGCACAGGCUAAUACUCUGUGUGGAUGACGGUACCGGCAUAAGAAGCACCGGCUAACUACGUGCCAGCCGCCGCGGUAA
rnacentral:rRNA from 1 species